rnacentral:rRNA from 1 species
CCUACGGGAGGCAGCAGUGAGGAAUAUUGGUCAAUGGACGCAAGUCUGAACCAGCCAUGCCGCGUGCAGGAAGACGGCUCUAUGAGUUGUAAACUGCUUUUGUACGAGGGUAAACGCAGAUACGCGUAUCUGUCUGAAAUUAACGUACGAAUAAGGAUCGGCUAACUCCGUGCCCGCAGCCGCGGUAAUACGGAGGAUUCAAGCGUUAUCCGGAUUUAUUGGGUUUAAAGGGUGCGUAGGCGGUCGGAUACGUUAGAGGUGAAAUUCCGAGGCUCAACCUCGGAGUUGGCUUUGAUACUGUUCGGCUAGAGAGUAGUUGCGGUAGGCGGAAUGUAUAGUGUAGCGGUGAAAUGCUUAGAGAUCAUACAGAACACCGAUUGCGAAGGCAGCUUACCAAGCUAAUUCUGACGUUGAGGCACGAAAGCGUGGGGAGCAAACAGGAUUAGAUACCCCAGUAGUC